GACGAACGCUGGCGGCGUGCUUAACACAUGCAAGUCGAACGGAAAGGCCCUGCUUUUGUGGGGUGCUCGAGUGGCGAACGGGUGAGUAACACGUGAGUAACCUGCCCUUGACUUUGGGAUAACUUCAGGAAACUGGGGCUAAUACCGGAUAGGAGCUCCUGCUGCAUGGUGGGGGUUGGAAAGUUUCGGCGGUUGGGGAUGGACUCGCGGCUUAUCAACUUGUUGGUGGGGUAGUGGCUUACUAAGGCUUUGACGGGUAGCCGGCCUGAGAGGGUGACCGGCCACAUUGGGACUGAGAUACGGCCCAGACUCCUACGGGAGGCAGCAGUGGGGAAUAUUGCACAAUGGGCGGAAGCCUGAUGCAGCAACGCCGCGUGCGGGAUGACGGCCUUCGGGUUGUAAACCGCUUUCGCCUGUGACGAAGCGUGAGUGACGGUAAUGGGUAAAGAAGCACCGGCUAACUACGUG
rnacentral:rRNA from 1 species